AUUGAACGCUGGCGGCGUGCCUAAUACAUGCAAGUCGAGCGAAGCGGGGACGGGUGAGUAACACGUGGAUAACUUCCUAUAAAACUGGGAUACCAUCGGGAAACCUGAGCAAUACCGGUAACUUAUAGAUUGAUCCGCGCUGCAUUAGCGAGUUGGUAAGGUAAUGGCUUACCAAGGCAACGAUGCAUAGCCGACCUGAGAGGGUGAUCGGCCACACUGGAACUGAGACACGGUCCAGACUCCUACGGGAGGCAGCAGUGGGGAAUCUUCCGCAAUGGUCGAAAGCCUGACGCAGCAACGCCGCGUGAGUGAUGAAGGUCUUCGGAUCGUAAAGCUCUGUUAUUAGGGAGGCGGUACCUAAUCAGAAAGCCACGGCUAACUACGUGCCAGCAGCCGCGGUAAUUC
rnacentral:rRNA from 1 species